rnacentral:rRNA from 1 species
UACGUAGGGGGCUAGCGUUGUCCGGAAUCAUUGGGCGUAAAGCGCGUGUAGGCGGCCCGGUAAGUCCGCUGUGAAAGUCGGGGGCUCAACCCUCGGAAGCCGGUGGAUACUGUCGGGCUCGAGUACGGAAGAGGCGAGUGGAAUUCCUGGUGUAGCGGUGAAAUGCUUAGAUAUGACAUAGAACACCGAUAGCGAAGGCAGCUUGCUACACAGUUAUUGACACUGAGGCACGAAAGCGUGGGGAGUAAACAGG